rnacentral:rRNA from 1 species
GACGAACGCUGGCGGCGUGCUUAACACAUGCAAGUCGAACGGAAAGGCCCUGCUUUUGUGGGGUGCUCGAGUGGCGAACGGGUGAGUAACACGUGAGUAACCUGCCCUUGACUUUGGGAUAACUUCAGGAAACUGGGGCUAAUACCGGAUAGGAGCUCCUGCUGCAUGGUGGGGGUUGGAAAGUUUCGGCGGUUGGGGAUGGACUCGCGGCUUAUCAGCUUGUUGGUGGGGUAGUGGCUUACCAAGGCUUUGACGGGUAGCCGGCCUGAGAGGGUGACCGGCCACAUUGGGACGGGGAUACGGCCCAGACUCCUACGGGAGGCAGCAGUGGGGAAUAUUGCACAAUGGGCGGAGCCUGAUGCAGCAACGCCGCGUGCGGGAUGACGGCCUUCGGGUUGUAAACCGCUUUCGCCUGUGACGAAGCGUGAGUGACGGUAAUGGGUAAAGAAGCACCGGCUAACUACGUG